rnacentral:rRNA from 1 species
GACGAACGCUGGCGGCGUGCUUAACACAUGCAAGUCGAACGGAAAGGCCCUGCUUUUGUGGGGUGCUCGAGUGGCGAACGGGGGAGUAACACGUGAGUAACCUGCCCUUGACUUUGGGAUAACUUCAGGAAACUGGGGCUAAUACCGGAUAGGAGCUCCUGCUGCAUGGUGGGGGUUGGAAAGUUUCGGCGGUUGGGGAUGGACUCGCGGCUUAUCAGCUUGUUGGUGGGGUAGUGGCUUACCAAGGCUUUGCCGGGUAGCCGGCCUGAGAGGGUGACCGGCCACAUUGGGACUGAGGUACGGCCCAGACUCCUACGGGAGGCAGCAGUGGGGAAUAUUGCACAAUGGGCGGAAGCCUGAUGCAGCAACGCCGCGUGCGGGAUGACGGCCUUCGGGUUGUAAACCGCUUUCGCCUGUGACGAUGCGUGAGUGACGGUAAUGGGUAAAGAAGCACCGGCUAACUACGUG